rnacentral:lncRNA from 1 species
GCUGGCGAUCUAGUCUGGGCCAUCACUGGACGCCUUGCCUCUGCCUCCCCUCUUCUAUACAUGCACUUCUCCACAUAGCAGCCAGUGGGACCCUGCCCAGUAUCUUCUCCGGGAUCUCAUCUCACUUUGGUAAAUGUUAGUUGCCUAUGAGGCCGUAGGAACUCUGACCUCUUCUCUGAACAGCGUCCACCUCCUCUCACUGUCAUUUCUGCCACACUGGUCUCUAUAGGAACACGCCUGCCUCCAGAUGCUGGCACCGGCUCUCUCCUCUGUUCAGAGCAUUCUUCCCUCUCCCUGAAGCAAGCAGCCUUCAGGACUCACCUGUCAUGACCAUUGGGACAUCUGUCACAGCUCAAGCUACAGUAUCAUUCAUUCAGCAAAUACCACUGAGUGCCUUCUAUGUAGCCAACAUGCUCCAGUCACUGGGGACAUAGCAGCAAAACAGAAGGGGUCACAGUUCUGUGGGCACUAAAUGUCCUAAUGGAAGAGCUAAACC